rnacentral:rRNA from 1 species
UUUCGACGUAGGUACAAGACGGGGUAGAGUGACGAAAAUGUGUUCGCAUAAUUUUCGCGCCCCCUGUUUUGUUUAAUCAACGACGAAUGCGUGCACUUUUCUCCUGGUAGGACGUCGCAAUCCGUUGGGUGUCGGUCUACGGUUCGCGGAGGAGCCCGUUCUGACAUUUCGAUUGAUGAGCGGACCCGUGUUAUUCCUGACCGACUCGCUCGACGGUAUACAAAUGGUAUGUGACCGCUCAAUUUGGAGCGUCCGACUCGUGGCAAGCGCGCUCGAUGCGUCGGCGGUCGGACCUAGUGCCGAUCCUGACCUCUGGUGACUGUUGGCCACGAUGUUCUUGGACAGAGUCUAUUACCGAUUUGCGACGCUAUAGCUUUGGGUACUUUCAGGACCCGUCUUGAAACACGGACCAAGGAGUCUAGCAUGUACGCAAGUCAUUGGGAAUAACUAAACCUAAAGGCGCAAUGAAAGUAAAGGUCUUCCUUGCGAGGACCUAGGGAAGAUGUGCGGUUGACCUUUAAAAGUUGCCGUGCCGCAUUCCCGGGGCGUCUCAUUCUCA